rnacentral:rRNA from 1 species
GACGAACGCUGGCGGCGUGCUUAACACAUGCAAGUCGAACGGAAAGGCCCUGCAUUUGUGGGAUGCUCGAGUGGCGAACGGGUGAGUAACACGUGAGUAACCUGCCCUUGACUUUGGGAUAACUUCAGGAAACUGGGGCUAAUACCGGAUAUGAGCUCCUGCUGCAUGGUGUGGGUUGGAAAGUUACGGCGGUUGGGCAUGGACUCGCGGCCUAUCAGCUUGUUGGUGGGGUAGUGGCUUAACAAGGCUUUGACGGGUAGCCGGCCUGAGAGGGUGACCGGCCACAUUGGGACUGAGAUACGGCCCAGACUCCUACGGGAGGCAGCAGUGGGGAAUAUUGCACAAUGGGCGGAAGCCUGAUGCAGCAACGCCGCGUGCGAGAUGACGGCCUUCGGGUUGUAAACCGCUUUCGCCUGUGACGAAGCGUGAGUGACGGUAAUGGGUAAAGAAGCACCGGCUAACUACGUG